AUAAAACAAAAAAAACGAAAUUAAAAGUGAAAACAAACAAACAAAAGAACAUUAAGAAUAAUUAAAAAAUAAAUAAAUUAAUAAUAUAUAUAAUGGUGUGAGUUGUCCAGCACCGAAAAGGCCCGCGCCUCAGCUUACACCGCUACAGAUGAGGUGGCAUCCACCCACCUGACGCGGCACUGGUUUUCAGUCGCGUCCUAGAGUGACUGUCAUUUGACCUACUUUUAUAAAAAAGAAAUAUAUAUAUUGUAUAUAGGUAUACGGUUAUACAUAAAUUUUAUACUUAAAUACCAAUACUGGAUAAUAUAAUAACAAUCAUAAAAACAUACACAUAAUAUAUAAAGCAAGAAUGUAUACAAUAAUAUGGUCCUAAUGCAGAAUAAACUAAUAAAAAUACUAAAUGAGGGUAAAUGUGCCUUCGGCGUUUCAGCGGGCGAGCGACACCGGUCACACCGGUCGCCUCGCUUGUUUCAGCGCUCAGAACAGCCCGUGCCGUCGGCUGAACACUACGGUGAAACAGUUUUACAAACACAAUAGAUACAGUGUGAGUGAAAAAGGAACACAAUUAGCACCACACAAGAUCUAUUUUUCAAUAGCAGAUAAUAUUGAAAAAUAAAAAAAAAGGUUAACGUUUCGUGAGAACAAAAGUGUAUUCCUGAUCAUAUGUAAAGGAUAGACGGUGAAGAGAUAGACAAGUGGAAGAUAAACGCAUAGACCGGCGGACUGAUCCCGUGGGAUUGAGUGGGAAACUAGUACCCUCCACGUGUCGUGACGAGAAUGCCAGUUACGCAAGCUUGGGUCUAGGCGGUUCCAACAGGAAGUAGCAUUAAAGGAGAACGAGGCUUUGAAUAUGGCGGUCUUGUGCUGAGGAGUGAGGAGCAGGUAUGAAGAGGCUCUCGUACGGUACAUAUUGAAGUCACGGGACCACCUUAGUUUAUCAUAAAGGUAUUCAGGUAUGUGUCUAUGUACUAUGCCAAAUAACAAACAAGCAAAAUGUAGGUACCGUCGGCUUGCUAUUUUUAACAAUCCACUGUUAUUUAUGAAGGGAGUGACGUGUGCCCGGGGGGGGAUGUCGUGACAGAAUCGAGCGCAAGCAUUUUGUACUCGCUGUAGCAGACGUUGUGUUUUCGCAUAAAGGCAAGGUCCAUAUACCGUAUCUGCAUAAUUUAAUUUAGACAGUACUAAACUCUCACAUAGUUUUAUACGCAAAUCGGUAUUAAUGUAAGGUCUAAUGCGGUACAGGACUUUUAGUCUAUAAAAACAACUUGAAACUAAGCACAGGAUAUGUUUUUCGAAACGCAGAUUGGAAUCAAAGCAGAUACCGAGAUUUCUAGCUUCAGUAACUUGUUCUAUAGAUUUCCCAGCUACCUUUAUAUCGGGUUUCAUUGCUUUAAUACCCUGUAUUUGUUUUCUAGAGCCUAUAAUAAGAAAUUUAGACUUUGUUGGAUUAAGUAGAAGUGAAUUCCUCUU